CGUUUAACUAAGGAGUGGGUGAAGUAAGACCCACUGAUGUCUGUGGAACAUGAGGGACAUGCAACUAUGGAGCUCUCAUGAGCUAUGGAAUGCUCUUGGAAUGACACCAGCUGCUGUAGCAUCAUGAUUCUGCAGUUGCUAAAAUAAUUGCCUCGGCUUAGAGGAAGUUUUACUACCUUGGUUUCCUCCCUGCCCCAGUGCUAGGCCUUGUAAAUGCUGUGAAAUAGAAACUAUCACCACAUUGAGCAUUGGAAAAAAAAUCAAAAAAAAACCCACACCAACAGAGGAAAAGCCCUGAGAAACUAAUUUCCUCAACUGGGUGUCAGCAGUUUCUGUAUCAGCCUGCGAAAGCCUUGAGUUAUUUGAUCUUCAGGUUACAUUUCUUCCCUGAAAAUGGACUGUUCUUCACCCACAGAACUCCUGCCACCAUAAACCCUCAGAAUUCUGGACACACUAAGAACAUGCACGGUCUGAACUUUCACUACUUCAAUCAUCAUAAAAUAAAAAUCUAAAUUGUA